UGGGGAAUAUUGCACAAUGGGGGAAACCCUGAUGCAGCCAUGCCGCGUGUGUGAAGAAGGCCUUCGGGUUGUAAAGCACUUUCAGUUGUGAGGAAGGGAUGUAGGUUAAUACCCUGCAUCAUUGACGUUAGCAACAGAAGAAGCACCGGCUAACUCCGUGCCAGCAGCCGCGGUAAUACGGAGGGUGCGAGCGUUAAUCGGAAUUACUGGGCGUAAAGCGCACGCAGGUGGUUAAUUAAGUCAGAUGUGAAAGCCCUGCGCUUAACGUGGGAUGGUCAUUUGAAACUGGUUAACUAGAGUUUUGGAGAGGAGUGUGGAAUUCCAGGUGUAGCGGUGAAAUGCGUAGAUAUCUGGAGGAACAUCAGUGGCGAAGGCGGCACUCUGGCCAAAGACUGACACUCAUGUGCGAAAGUGUGGGUAGCGAACAGGAUUAGAUACCCCCGUAGUCC
rnacentral:rRNA from 1 species